ACCCGCUGAACUUAAGCAUAUCAAUAAGCGGAGGAAAAGAAACCAACAGGGAUUGCCUCAGUAACGGCGAGUGAAGCGGCAAGAGCUCAGAUUUGAAAUCCUGUACGUUAGCGUGCACGAGUUGUAAUCUGCAGAGAAUGUUUCGGCGGCGACACCGGUCAAAAUUCCUUGGAAUAGGAUUACACAGAGGGUGAGAAUCCCGUAUCCGGCUGGACGUCAAUGCUAUGUGAAACUUCUUCGACGAGUCGAGUUGUUUGGGAAUGCAGCUCUAACUGGGUGGUAAAUUCCAUCUAAAGCUAAAUAUCUGCGAGAGACCGAUAGCGCACAAGUAGAGUGAUCGAAAGAUGAAAAGCACUUUGAAAAGAGAGUUAAAAAGUACGUGAAAUUGUUGAAAGGGAAGCGCUUGCCAUCAGAAUUGGGGCCGGUCGAUCAGCGUUCCUUCUGGUUCGUGCACUCGUCCGGUUUCCGUGCCAGCACCAGUUGAAGCGGCAGGACAAAGACAUCGGGAAUGUGGCUCCCCUCGGGGAGUGUUAUAGCCCGGUGUGUAAUGCUGCCAGUUUCGACUGAGGACCGCGCGUAAGCAAGGGUGCUGGCCUAAUGGUUGU
rnacentral:rRNA from 1 species